rnacentral:rRNA from 1 species
AUUGAACGCUGGCGGCAGGCCUAACACAUGCAAGUCGAGCGCGCGGCGGACGGGUGAGUAAUGUAUGGGGACUGCCCGAUAGAGGGGGAUAACUACUGGAAACGGUGGCUAAUACCGCAUACUAUCGGAUAACCCAUAUGGGAUUAGCUAGUAGGUGGGGUAAAGGCUCACCUAGGCGACGAUCUCUAGCUGGUCUGAGAGGAUGAUCAGCAAAACUGGAACUGAGAAACGGCCCAGACUCUUACGGAGGCAGCAGUGGGGAAUAUUGCCCAAUGGGCGAAAGCCUGAUGCGGCAAUGCCGGUUGUAUGAAGAAGGCCUUAGGGUUGUAAAGUACUUUAAGCGGGGAGGCGUUCCCCGCAGAAGAAGCACCGGCUAAUUCCGGGCCAGCAGCCGCGUAAUUC